AGCGGCGGACGGGUGAGUAAUGCCUAGGAAAUUGCCCUGAUGUGGGGGAUAACCAUUGGAAACGAUGGCUAAUACCGCAUAAUGCCUACGGGCCAAAGAGGGGGACCUUCGGGCCUCUCGCGUCAGGAUAUGCCUAGGUGGGAUUAGCUAGUUGGUGAGGUAAGGGCUCACCAAGGCGACGAUCUCUAGCUGGUCUGAGAGGAUGAUCAGCCACACUGGAACUGAGACACGGUCCAGACUCCUACGGGAGGCAGCAGUGGGGAAUAUUGCACAAUGGGCGCAAGCCUGAUGCAGCCAUGCCGCGUGUAUGAAGAAGGCCUUCGGGUUGUAAAGUACUUUCAGCAGUGAGGAAGGUGGGUAUGUUAAUAGCAUAUUCAUUUGACGUUAGCUACAGAAGAAGCACCGGCUAACUCCGUGCCAGCAGCCGCGGUAAUACGGAGGGUGCGAGCGUUAAUCGGAAUUACUGGGCGUAAAGCGCAUGCAGGUGGUUUGUUAAGUCAGAUGUGAAAGCCCGGGGCUCAACCUCGGAAUUGCAUUUGAAACUGGCAAA
rnacentral:rRNA from 1 species